GACAGCUUGGCCGAGCGGUUAAGCGAUAGACUCGAAAUCUAUUGGGAAACCGCGUGAGUUCAAAUCUCACAGCUGUCG
rnacentral:tRNA from 1 species